rnacentral:rRNA from 1 species
AUAUCAAUAAGCGGAGGAAAAGAAACCAACAGGGAUUGCCUCAGUAACGGCGAGUGAAGCGGCAACAGCUCAAAUUUGAAAUCUGGCUUCCUUUGGAGUCCGAGUUGUAAUUUGUAGAGGAUGUUUCGGUUCUGGCUCUGGUCUAAGUUCCUUGGAACAGGACGUCAUAGAGGGUGAGAAUCCCGUAUGUGAUUGGAAGUCAGCAACCAUGUGAAACUCCUUCGACGAGUCGAGUUGUUUGGGAAUGCAGCUCAAAAUGGGUGGUAAAUUUCAUCUAAAGCUAAAUACUGGCCAGAGACCGAUAGCGCGCAAGUAGAGUGAUCGAAAGAUGAAAAGCACUUUGGAAAGAGAGUUAAACAGUACGUGAAAUUGUUGAAAGGGAAGCGCUUGCAAUCAGACUUGCUUGCAGCCGGUCAUCUGGUGUUCUCACCAGUGCACUCGGUUGUGAUCAGGCCAGCAUCAGUUUGGACGGUUGGAUAAAGGUCUUUGGGAAUGUAGCUCCUCUCGGGGAGUGUUAUAGCCCUGGACGCAAUGCAAUCAGUCUGGACUGAGGACCGCGCUUCGGCUAGGAUGCUGGCGUAAUGGUUGUAAGCGA